rnacentral:rRNA from 1 species
UACAGAGGUCUCAAGCGUUGUUCGGAUUCAUUGGGCGUAAAGGGUGCGUAGGUGGCGGGGUAAGUCAGGUGUGAAAUCUCGGGGCUCAACCCCGAAACUGCACUUGAUACUGCCUUGCUCGAGUACUGGAGAGGAGAUUGGAAUUUACGGUGUAGCAGUGAAAUGCGUAGAUAUCGUAAGGAAGACCAGUGGCGAAGGCGAAUUUCUGGACAGUUACUGACACUGAGGCACGAAGGCCAGGGGAGCAAACAGG